rnacentral:rRNA from 1 species
UACAGGGGGGGCAAGCGUUGUUCGGAAUUACUGGGCGUAAAGGGUGCGUAGGCGGCCAUGUAAGUGAGGUGUGAAAUCCCUCGGCUCAACCGAGGAACUGCGCUUCAUACUGCAUGGCUUGAGGGAGACAGGGGUAAGCGGAACUGAUGGUGGAGCGGUGAAAUGCGUUGAUAUCAUCAGGAACACCGGUGGCGAAAGCGGCUUACUGGGUCUCUUCUGACGCUGAGGUACGAAAGCUAGGGUAGCGAACGGG